rnacentral:rRNA from 1 species
GACGAACGCUGGCGGCGGGCUUAACACAUGCAAGUCGAACGGAAAGGCCCUGCUUUUGUGGGGUGCUCGAGUGGCGAACGGGUGAGUAACACGUGAGUAACCUGCCCUUGACUUUGGGAUAACUUCAGGAAACUGGGGCUAAUACAGGAUAGGAGCUCCUGCUGCAUGGUGGGGGUUGGAAAGUUUCGGCGGUUGGGGAUGGGCUCGCGGCUUAUCAGCUUGUUGGUGGGGUAGUGGCUUACCAAGGCAUUGACGGGUAGCCGGCCUGAGAGGGUGACCGGCCACCAUGGGACUGAGAUACGGCCCAGACUCCUACGUGAGGCAGCAGUGGGGAAUAUUGCACAAUGGGCGCAAGCCUGAUGCAGCAACGCCGCGUGCGGGAUGACGGCCUUCGGGUUGUGAACCGCUUUCGCCUGUGACGAAGCGUGUGUGACGGUAAUGGGUAAAGAAGCACCGGCUAACUACGUG